rnacentral:rRNA from 1 species
UCCGGUGUCCAUAGCGAGGGUGUAACACACGUUCCCAUCCCGAACACGAUCGUUAAGAACCUCCACGACGAUGGUACUGCACAAUAGAGUGCGGGAGAGUAGUUAGACGCCGGGA